rnacentral:rRNA from 1 species
CCUACGGGUGGCAGCAGUGGGGAAUAUUGGGCAAUGGACGCAAGUCUGACCCAGCAACGCCGCGUGCAGGAAGAAGGCUUUCGGGUUGUAAACUUCUUUUAAGGGGGAAGAGCAGAAGACGGUACCCCUUGAAUAAGCCACGGCUAACUACGUGCCAGCAGCCGCGGUAAUACGUAGGUGGCAAGCGUUGUCCGGAUUUACUGGGUGGACAGGGCGUGCAGCCGGAGAGACAAGUCAGAUGUGAAAUCCACGGGCUCAACCCGUGAACUGCUUUUGAAACUGUUUCCCUUGAGUGGAGGAGAGGUAAUCGGAAUUCCUGGUGUAGCGGUGAAAUGCGUAGAUAUAAGGAAGAACACCAGUGGCGAAAGCGGCUCUCUGGUCUGUAACUGACGCUGAGGUUCGAAAGCGUGGGUAGCAAACAGGAUUAGAUACCCCAGUAGUC